UACGGAGGGUGCAAGCGUUGUUCGGAAUUACUGGGCGUAAAGCGCGCGUAGGCGGUUUGUUAAGUCAGAUGUGAAAGCCCAUGGCUCAACCAUGGACGUGCAUUUGAUACUGACAGACUUGAGUAUUGGAGGGGGUGGUGGAAUUCCCGGUGUAGAGGUGAAAUUCGUAGAUAUCGGGAGGAAUACCGGUGGCGAAGGCGACCACCUGGCCAAAUACUGACGCUGAGGUG
rnacentral:rRNA from 1 species